GGAUAACCUUGCGAAAGUAAGACUAAUACCCAAUGAUAUCUCUAGAAGACAUCUGAAAGGGAUUAAAGAUUUAUCGGUGAUGGAUGGGGAUGCGUCUGAUUAGCUUGUUGGCGGGGUAACGGCCCACCAAGGCGACGAUCAGUAGGGGUUCUGAGAGGAAGGUCCCCCACAUUGGAACUGAGACACGGUCCAAACUCCUACGGGAGGCAGCAGUGAGGAAUAUUGGUCAAUGGGCGAGAGCCUGAACCAGCCAAGUAGCGUGCAGGAUGACGGCCCUAUGGGUUGUAAACUGCUUUUAUAAGGGAAUAAAGUGAGUCUCGUGAGACUUUUUGCAUGUACCUUAUGAAUAAGGACCGGCUAAUUCCGUGCCAGCAGCCGCGGUAAUACGGAAGGUCCGGGCGUUAUCCGGAUUUAUUGGGUUUAAAGGGAGCGUAGGCCGGAGAUUAAGCGUGUUGUGAAAUGUAGAUGCUCAACAUCUGCACUGCAGCGCGAACUGGUUUCCUUGAGUACGCACAAAGUGGGCGGAAUUCGUGGUGUAGCGGUGAAAUGCUUAGAUAUCACGAAGAACUCCGAUUGCGAAGGCAGCUCACUGGAGCGCAACUGACGCUGAAGCUCGAAAGUGCGGGUAUCGAACAGGAUUAGAUACCCUGGUAGUCCGCACGGUAAACGAUGGAUGCCCGCUGUUGGUCUGAAUAGGUCAGCGGCCAAG
rnacentral:rRNA from 1 species